rnacentral:lncRNA from 1 species
UCGCUACUAUCUAGAUCUACUCUAGUUUAGAGAAGAGAGGAGAGCUCUCAUCUCUAAACCCUAGCUUUUGCUCUGUCUAUGAAUAAUGAAUAAUGAUCAAGGGGGUUGCCUCCUCUAGGGGCCAGGGGGUCUGGUUUUAUAGUCCCCUCAAGUGAACCUGGGCCGUCGGAUCAAACCGACAUUGAUUGAACGGUUAUUCUUGAUCCUUUAGGUCGGUGGAGCAUAAUUCGUGAGAUUGAGCAUGAUUGGCCACAGGAGGUGGGCGGGCGCCCAGUAGGACAGGGCGGGCGCCCUGUCCCGGACUCCGUUCGGUCUCCGCUUCCUUCCCGUGUCUUCUGGAGUCUUCUAGAUGUAAGAUAAUUGCACGGCACGUUGAUAUCUCUAUGUAAUCUCGACGUGUGGGCCUUUCUUCCUUAUUUCCUGAUAACCCCCUUCAGAAAUAGACAAACACCAAAACUCGUGGAAUUCUGUCAGAUAAAACCCUAAGUCUUGAUGUUGAUUUCAUUUGGAUCCUUUUCUUUGUUUAUUUGAUAGUUAAAUUUGAUACUUAAGGACCGUCAACAAACUCCCCCAAGCAUACCUCUUGCUCGUCCCUGAGUAAGGAUAGACUCAGCUAUGGAUCAUAAGUUGUUGCAAUAUCUUUAAAAAAUUGACGGUACACAUGCUUUUAAAUGAGGUCUCAUCUCUAAGUUAGAGUAAACUGUCAAGACUUAAAACUUACUUACUUUACCUUUCACCAUGGGUCUUGUAACCGUCACUUCUGUCUUGAGUGGUUAAAAGAUAGAACAGUCCCGUCAAGUGCCAUGUCUCUUAUUCUUGAUCAGCUAUAGCUCUGGAGUUUUUUUUUUGUAGAUUUUCAAAUAAAACUCAGAGAUUCCUUUGUAUGACUCUCUCAUAUCUCUCUUUUGUGGUAUUUCUGGAUCCUUACCAAGGCAGUGAUGGUAUAUGCCUUCUCUCAAAAUAUAUGGUAUUUGUGGUAUAAGGCAUAGUGACAUUGCCUUCUCUCUCACCCUACUCUAAUAAGGCUUUAAUAUCUGGAGCUCAUAGGUGGGAGAUAAAGUAUACAUACUUACAAGACAUUUAUUGUAUAGUCAAACCAUGGAUCCAAAGAAACAAAUCAAUAAGCCAAAUCAAGAUGUGCAUGUGUGGCGAAUGAAUGGUGUAUAGUGAUGAUGGUGAUAACAAUGGUGAAAGUCUAAUUCUACUUUUGCUCUUAUGAGGGGAUACAUACCUUCCUUGCUUUUUGAAACUUUAUGAGGAGAAUGAGAUGCUCUUCUUUUUCUUUCCUCUCAGGUGGGUAUCUUGUACCCCUAAUUCUACUGUCGGACACUUGUCCAUUUUUACCUCUCGUCUCACUUUUUCUUUCUUUCGAGGUUCCGGGCACAUGCCCCUUUUUAUUUCCUCGUUUAUUAUUAUUUUUUUUUUUUCUUCUCUUUUAUUUUUUUUAGAGCACUCAUCUCCUGAGAUAAUAUAGCAAGUGGUAGUAGCAAGAUAACUGGAGCAUUUAUUUCACAGGGAAUAACAGGGAUAGAAAAAUAUUUUUGGUUAUUCUCUCCCGGAUUAGGAGUAGAAUGAUUUUGGGUGAAAUUGGAGAUGUGGAUGGUACUUCCAGAGUAGAAGUAGCAUAUAUGAGUGAACGUGCAAGUGAAUCUUGAUUUAACCACAUGACUAGCUCCUAAGGGUCUACACAGCUUGACCACACUCAAUGCUCAUAAGCAGUAAAUAAAUGUGUGGCUCAAAGUCUAGCAAGCAUGUAUAUAUGGCUGUGGUAGGAAUUUAAACUUUCAUCAUACAGGAACUCAUCAUGCAAUAUUUUAAAGAUUUUUCAAAGAUAAAAUUCUCCAGAAUUCUAGCAUCUCUAGGAAUAGAUAAACAGCAGCUCAACCUUCCCAUAUCAUAUCCGUUAACAACUUAGAUUUCAGAUCAAGUUUUCAUCCCACAAGUUUAGAUCUAGAGCAAGCUUUAAAUUAUAACAGUUAUGUCUAAACUUGAGAGAGAACUUCAAAUUUGCAAAUUAGGCAGAGCAACUAUUCAUCAUAUCCAUGCUAGAGUUUUAUUAUUAAGAUUCAUAGCAAACUUUAUUUAUUUAUUUAUUUAUUUAUUUAGCAAACUAAGAAAAGAUAUAUAUAUAUAUAAGCAUAAAAUCUUUAUUUGGUUUUUCAUAGUUUAUGUAUUUUAAUAUUCUAAUAUAAUAUAAGUAUAAAGAUAGGUAGAAAUACUUAGCGAGAUAAAUAGGGGUGCUCUCCCCCAAGCUGAAUUUUGACGUAAUUUCUCUUGAUGUAGCUAGCAGGUGGCAGAGGUGUAUUUGAAAGUCAGCAGCAUUCUGACAGCGAUUAGAAUGUCCUCCAUCUGCUAGUCUUCUUGAUUCUUAAAUUCUGUGGAGCUCAAAUAGACAACAAAGCUUGUGGAACUAAUUAAGUGUUAGCAUAAAUAUCUAGCCUUCAUCACGUUGAGCUUCCUUAAUAAAUAUUACUCCCUGUUUUUAUAUUUUUAUUUUAUAAAGUAGAAAAGAAAUAUUUAUUUUAUUUUUAUGCCACCACAGUGAAGGUACUUAUGGGUUUUAUGCCACUCGUAUACUCACAUGGGGCUUAGUAUUUUUUAAAAUUUUUAUUUUCUUUUCAAGAUAGCAUGAUUAACUAAUAAUCUAUUUAAGGAAAGUAAAUAAAUAAAUGGAAAAGGGAAUGCAGAAAGGAUAAAUAUGGAUAACUACCAAUCUUACCUUUCGGUGAGGGUUCAAUGUUUUAAGUCUUCUUGUCAAGACUUCUUAUCGUGUUCAUUCUUCAGGUGCGUCAUUUGAUUCAGGUGCGGACCUUGACGUCUGCACCUUUUAAUACGGUGUCACCCGUGUUCUUCGUUUGCCCAGCAGUUCGAAGUGCGGUGUUAGCAGUAUCUUGCUCAGUGUGUUUGUGCUCGUAGUGUACCUGCUCAUAGAGACAAGGCAGAGAUCAAGUGCAUGGGCCCUGUUGGUGGAAAACACCACAGAACCAAAAGUGUAUUUGUUCUUCUCUAACCUUAAGCAUAGUGAGCAAGACAAAGUUGAUGGAUGAUAAGUUCAUGAGUGUAGCACUUAUAACAUUUGUCAGAUCAGAUCGCUCAACCUUAUGGAAAGAUAAUCUAUCUAUGUAUAUGUCUUUUUCUUUAUAUCUCUCAAUGAUUAAAUGUGUAACAUUUUAGCUCAUAUGAUUAGGAGUGUGGGAUCAUGGAGGUAGUACUAAGAACAAGGAUUAAAGGACUAAACAUGUUGAAUCAGUUGGGUUGGUUAAUCUAGAGUUGUAAAUCAUACACGUUUGUCUCUUUUAUUUAUAUGAACGCCAGAACCAAGGAGAAGCUUAUAAAAGUGAUAGUCAAGUACCUUAGGAUGUUACCUUGCUUGAAAAGUGAUGGUACAGUAUCACCUUGUGGAAGCUUUCCUUUCUUAGCGGUUGUGCAUCGUAUUCGUGGCACCCUCCAUGGAUCAUCUCUCUAUGAUGAAUGAGCUAUGUCCUUCUUGUGCAAAUUGUUAAACUUCAUGUGUCACUCUCUUCGUCUCUGAUGUGAGUUUAUCUCAGGACUUCCCAAAUCGAUAUUGAAAGUUUUUCUGCAGGGGUUAGUCCGACAAAAUAUACCAAUAUCUACUCAAGUAGUUUUUUUUAGUUCAAUAACCAAACUAGACUCCAUGUCUAAUCAGAUUAAGGAAGGCUAUUUAACCUAAGCACCAUGCUUAAUUUAAAUGCCAAUGGAAGUAUGGCGAGUACUUCCAAACCAACACUUGCUAGUAAAUAGACAAAGGUAGCAUGACAGCAUUUAUAGAGAUCUACUCAAGUGGAGAUAAAGUAGUGUGAUUAGUAUUUAACAAAUUGAGCAUGUCUCAAAGGUAGGGACAACCAGCAUAGCAACAUGGCAAAGGAUGUUUUUAUGUAAAGUACUCCCCCAAGCUUGAAUUUUGCAAAAUUCAAGUUUGGAUGAAUUUAAUUCAAUGUUGUAUGAUGAUUGGUUGGACAUACCUUGUGCUUGUCAUUCAUCCGAUCUUCUUGCUCCAAUCCUAGAAAGGUUAGUGAUAAGAAUACCCGAAGGAAUAUUUUUUUACAAUUAUCCUUAUAUGCUCAAUACACAAGAUAAUGUUGCAAAUAAUUAAAAGCUCAUGUUACGAUCUGAUCAAUGCUUAUUUUAAGACACUAAACUUGUCCUUGGGAAACCAUCAGUUUAUGUUGGCGAAGUGGUUUCCCCUCCGACGCCAACCUAUACCUAGAUCAACUCAAUGAGAUCUGCAAUAUUUAUUAUAGACAUAUGCAUCGACAAUCGCCCUUUUAAAGUUUUUAUAAAUAGAAAGGAAGAGGGGGUUGGAGAUCUCAAGUGUGGUGAUGUCGGAGAGACCAAUAGAUUGGGAAGAUGUUGCAUAUGAGCAUGGAGUCAACAAAGUGGCUAUGAAAUAAAUUCCAUGCUCAUUAAUGUUAUCUUCGUCUCCAAUCUGAUUGUUCAGAGUUUCUCUUGGAUUUGUCUCACUUAUGUCCUCUUCUAUAGUUGGAUGAAUCUCAUCUUCAAAGGGAGUCAAGAACUCACCAUUUGAAAUUGAGCCAAAGUCAGAAACCAUUAAGGCUUCUUCCUUAUUCAUCCAUUCUACACAUUCUAGCCAUUU